GACGAAUGCUGGCUGCGUGCUUAACACAUGCAAGUCGAACGGUGAACAGGGGCUUGCCCCUGGGAUCAGUGGCGAACGGGUGAGUAACACGUGGGCAACCUGCCCCUCACUCUGGGAUAACUCCGGGAAACCGGGGCUAAUACCGGAUACGACCAGGCGCGACAUCGGGUCUGGUGGAAAGAACUUCGGUGAGGGAUGGGCCCGCGGCCUAUCAGCUAGUUGGUGAGGUAACGGCUCACCAAGGCGACGACGGGUAGCCGGCCUGAGAGGGCGACCGGCCACACUGGGACUGAGACACGGCCCAGACUCCUACGGGAGGCAGCAGUGGGGAAUAUUGCGCAAUGGGCGAAAGCCUGACGCAGCGACGCAGCGUGA
rnacentral:rRNA from 1 species